GUAAUGAUGGCCAGGCUGUCUCCACCCGAGACUCAGUGAAAUUGAACUCGCUGUGAAGAUGCAGUGUACCCGCGGCAAGACGGAAAGACCCCGUGAACCUUUACUAUAGCUUGACACUGAACAUUGAGCCUUGAUGUGUAGGAUAGGUGGGAGGCUUAGAAGUGUGGACGCCAGUCUGCAUGGAGCCGACCUUGAAAUACCACCCUUUAAUGUUUGAUGUUCUAACGUUGACCCGUAAUCCGGGUUGCGGACAGUGUCUGGUGGGUAGUUUGACUGGGGCGGUCUCCUCCUAAAGAGUAACGGAGGAGCACGAAGGUUGGCUAAUCCUGGUCGGACAUCAGGAGGUUAGUGCAAUGGCAUAAGCCAGCUUGACUGCGAGCGUGACGGCGCGAGCAGGUGCGAAAGCAGGUCAUAGUGAUCCGGUGGUUCUGAAUGGAAGGGCCAUCGCUCAACGGAUAAAAGGUACUCCGGGGAUAACAGGCUGAUACCGCCCAAGAGUUCAUAUCGACGGCGGUGUUUGGCACCUCGAUGUCGGCUCAUCACAUCCUGGGGCUGAAGUAGGUCCCAAGGGUAUGGCUGUUCGCCAUUUAAAGUGGUACGCGAGCUGGGUUUAGAACGUCGUGAGACAGUUCGGUCCCUAUCUGCCGUGGGCGCUGGAGAACUGAGGGGGGCUGCUCCUAGUACGAGAGGACCGGAGUGGACGCAUCACUGGUGUUCGGGUUGUCAUGCCAAUGGCACUGCCCGGUAGCUAAAUGCGGAAGAGAUAAGUGCUGAAAGCAUCUAAGCACGAAACUUGCC
rnacentral:rRNA from 1 species